CCAUAUUAAAUAAGGGAGACUCUACUGUAAUAAUUAAUCUCACCUUGAACGGUAAUUUGUUAUAACUUUUUUUCCCACAAUCUGAUAUGCGAUUAGUCGCCAAAGUCAUUUUCGCUCAAGCGCUGUUCUAAGAGUUGUUGGUUUCUUCCAUUCUUGGAAGCUUUUCUUCCAACGAUUCAUCAUUCUACGAUGCCCCCUGCGUUUGUUUCUUGCCCGAUCGACUCUCAAUUUCAUCAUGGUUCACCUUCUCCAACCUUCUCAGGCGCCAAUCGUGGAUGUCGACCACCCUUUCUUUAUGGGAUCUGACGAGAUCCCUACAUUCUUGAUUGUCCAGGUUUUACUUUCCUGUGCCUCCAAUUACUAUUCGUGAGCAAAUCUUGUUCGUGCUAAUGACCUCCAUGACCAAAUCUCAUCAUUCUGACAAGGAAUCCUCUCCAUUUCUGCUUAUUAUACACGUUUCUAGGUUCUGUGGUACGAAUACGUGAUGUUUUGUCCCGUCCCGACGUGUUCUUGCCAGCUUCGUUGUUCUUGUAAUGCUUUGGUACGUGUGAGGGAGUUUCUGAUCUGAGCAGAUUAUGAGAUUUUUUGAGGCCUCAAUCCCCCUUUUGCCUCCGCUUAGAUAUUUUACCAACAGUCAAUAGCGUCUUCACCGUGAUCUCUCGGGAGGAGGAUUCCAUAUCUGCUCUUCCCAAUCCGAGUUUGACUUACUCUGCUUCAAGUGGCUCUGCUUCACACAUUCUUGUUGCUUACGCACCAUCGCUGUUCAAGAAAGAAACAGUCCCAUGUGUAGACAUUGUGCUAUGAUUGGCUACAUUGGGGACGAGUGCUACAACAGGAUUGGUUACAUUCUAACAGUAGACAAAUGAAAACCGCCGUUAGUUUAACAGUGGUCAGAAAUCUGUUGUUAGCUGCUCCAUUUCUUGUACUGACAGUGCCACCAGAGGAAAGUCUACCAUCAAUGCGUCGCCAUCUACUUUCCUUGAUGAUGGAAUUCCACCUAGAGAUAUUGGUGUCGUUUCGAUCACUCAAGCGCAAUAUCAAACUUUGUAUUGUCUCUUCCAAGGGCAUAGGUAGGCUAUUGAUGCUCUAGAUCCGGCUCCUAGGUCCAUUCAUUACAUCAGCACCUCUGAACCAUCUUCCAGCCGUCUUCAAUAUUCAACCUCUUCUCUGACCACCCAACCAUUGGCUUCUCCAUCCAUUGUUCCGUCCUAUCAUCCUUUCUCAGCCAUUUGAUGAUCCAUAUGUUUCUCGCCAGUCGUUCCUUUGGGUCGUUGAUUCCAGUGCCACGGAUCACGUCAUAUGCUCUCUCAAAUUGUUUGAUACAUAUUAUUCAGUGUGUAAUCGCAUGGUUUUUCUCCCUAAUGGGAUUUCUGUUGCCAUUACCCAUGUAGGAAUUGUCACUUGAGUCCAUAUCUUUGUGUUAACAUGUCUUAUAUAUCCUUGCCUUUACAUUCAAGUUACUAUCCAUUAGCAAGAUGGUUGAACAACUCCCUUAAGUUGUUGUGUUUUCUUUUGCUUCAUGUGUGAAACAGGACGCCAACACUUCAAGGACAAUUGUUUAGCUGAAUCAGAAUGGGUCUUCGGUAGUCCUCAUGUUCUUCACCUCAUUCUAUCACUACAUUGAUGGCUUCUACAUCUCUUUUUUUUUAUCACUGACAUGUUCGAUUAGGACACAGUUCAUUGGGAAUUCUAGCUAGGAAUUUUUGUCCAAAACAUUUUACGGAUUUUCAUUGUAAAGUUUGUCCUUUGGCAUAAACUUCCACAAUUUUCCAACACUACAGGAAUCUUCCUUUCUAAAAGCACAUGUUUAACGGAGGAAAGAAAAUGG
rnacentral:lncRNA from 1 species